GAAUAAACUUUGGGAGCUGGUGCUGGACAGGGAGGCCUGGCGUGCUGCAGUCCAUGGGGUCGCAAAGAGUCGGACACAACUAAGCAACUGAACUAACUGAAGAUUAUAUACAGUAUGCAUUUAUCUUAACUUAUCUCAAGAGAAACUGAUGAAUCAAAAUAUUCUCAAUUUGAAUUUUGAGAAAGAAACUGGAUUUCACCCAAGUUUUCCUUCUGACAAAGUUUCAUUGCCCCAGAGUACGUAUUCUAUGUUUCUUACCACUUCAAAUGAUCUUAUCAGGCCACCAAGGGUGAAGUGAGAGGAAUUAAGCUCUGUGUUGCAGAAAAGACACUUAAUGGUUCAAUUUAUCAGCAUUUAGGUAUAAAAGAACCACAUUAUUUUCCUUCUCCCAACACACAUGACUGUACCAAUACUAAUCCAUCAAUGUUAAAUAAAUAUGGGAGACAUGGGAGGAGGCAAGAAAAAAAUGAUGGCAAAAAUACCUAGUUAACUAUAAUCUGUAUUGUAUAUUUUGGCAGAAAUAAUUCUCUUACUACUAUGUCAGAAGUUACACGAUGGUGCUGGAUACUUACAGUGAGAAGAUUACCUACUUCUACCCUAUCCACAGUGUAUGGUAGUUGUAUCAUUUUGCAUACUUUGUAAACGUUCCAAUGAAAACUCUAAAAUGCAA